rnacentral:rRNA from 1 species
UACAGAGGUCCCAAGCGUUGUUCGGAUUCACUGGGCGUAAAGGGUGCGCAGGUGGGUUUGCAAGUUCGAUGUGAAAGCCCCGGGCUUAACCCGGGAAUGGCAUUGGAUACUGCAGAUCUGGAGGAUUGGAGGGGGGACUGGAAUUCUUGGUGUAGCAGUGAAAUGCGUAGAUAUCAAGAGGAACACCAGUGGCGAAGGCGAGUCCCUGGACCAGCACUGACACUGAGGCACGAAAGCGUGGGGAGCAAACAGG